rnacentral:rRNA from 1 species
AGAACGAACGCUGGCGGCAGGCUUAACACAUGCAAGUCGAACGCCCCGCAAGGGGAGUGGCAGACGGGUGAGUAACGCGUGGGAAUCUACCCAACCCUACGGAAUAGCUCCGGGAAACUGGAAUUAAUACCGUAUACGCCCUUCGGGGAAAGAUUAUCGGGGAUGGAUGAGCCCGCGUUGGAUUAGCUAGUUGGUGGGGUAAAGGCCUACCAAGGCGACGAUCCAUAGCUGGUCUGAGAGGAUGACCAGCCACAUUGGGACUGAGACACGGCCCAAACUCCUACGGGAGGCAGCAGUGGGGAAUAUUGGACAAUGGGCGCAAGCCUGAUCCAGCCAUGCCGCGUGAGUGAUGAAGUCUUAGGAUUGUAAAGCUCUUUCAGUGGGGACGAUAAUGACGGUACCACAGAAGAAGCCCCGGCUAACUUCGUGCCAGCAGCCGC